rnacentral:tRNA from 1 species
GACGAAGAGUUUUCAGUUACAAUGAAAAGGACCUACACGGCGUCUUUAUACUUAUAAGGUUAAUAAAGG